rnacentral:rRNA from 1 species
AGUGAACGCUGGCGGUAGGCCUGACACAUGCAAGUCGAACGGCAGCACAGUAAGAGCUUGCUCUUACGGGUGGCGAGUGGCGGACGGGUGAGGAAUACAUCGGAAUCUACUUUUUCGUGGGGGAUAACGUAGGGAAACUUACGCUAAUACCGCAUACGACCUACGGGUGAAAGCAGGGGAUCUUCGGACCUUGCGCGAUUGAAUGAGCCGAUGUCGGAUUAGCUAGUUGGCGGGGUAAAGGCCCACCAAGGCGACGAUCCGUAGCUGGUCUGAGAGGAUGAUGAGCCAAACUGGAACUGAGACACGGUCCAGACUCCUAGGGGAGGCAGCAGUGGUGAAUAUUGGACAAGGGGCGCAUGCCUGAUCCAGCCAUACCGCGUGGGUGAAGAAGGCCUUCGGGUUGUAAAGCCCUUUUGUUGGGAAAGAAAAGCAGCAGGUUAAUACCCGGCUGUUCUGACGGUACCCAAAGAAUAAGCACCGGCCAACUUCGUG